CACGUGUUCUACUCCUCCAAC
rnacentral:miRNA from 1 species